CGCAAGACUUCGAGAAUCCAGUCCAAGUGUCCAACCACGUCUUUGAUGGAUAAAUUCUACUUGAUUUAGUCCUUAAUAGUGUGGGACAUGCCAAAUUUUAAACUUCAGCCGUAGAUUUGUUAUCUUUACCAAGCACUAAUAUUGGCUGCCUCACAUCCAUGCACCCACUGGAUCUAUAUAUAUCACAUGAAACCAGAAAUAAGGACUCACUCAAGCUCACCUACUCACUUUUGAUUACGGUUCUCCAGAAGCUAACAGAGAUCGUUUCUGCUUUGAAGAAAAUGGAAACUCCUUACACAGGUUAAUUUUUAGGCCAUGUUCAAUUGAAUGUCAUUUAUAAUUCUAAUUUUAAUAUAUGUGUUUGUGAAUAAGGUUUUUAUUAUCAAAUUUUCAGGUAACAAAGAAUGGUCAGAGGGUACACAUGUUAAUAUAGGAGUUAGUAUGUUUGAUGAUGAGAAAAUAAACAACGAUGAUCUUGAUCUUUUUACUGUCCCUCAAUACGGGAGGUACCCUGACUACACUGGUUAAGUGUUACAGCAUUAUACUUUUCUAUUAUGUUUAGUGAAAUAAAAGGAUGGAUAAUGUUAUUAUCCACCAAUGAUGUGAAUACAAGGUUGGUUUAGUCAACUACUAAGAUCUUGUGGGAUAGACAAAAAACUGCUUUCUUUAGCACAUGUAUUUUGUCGUCCUUAAUUAAUAAAUAAAAUUAUUGUGUGUAUGAGUUGACUGAAUUAUUUUGGCAAUAGAUAUAAAAUUGUAUUAUUUUAAAUAUCUCUAUUUGAUUAAUUGUGCUCUUUUUCUUCUUGAAGGGGCCAAAAUCUUUAUAAUUAAUUAAUAGUACUAAUACUAUUUAUGUUUGUUAUUUGUUAAUUAAAUGGCGUAUAUCAUCAGGAUUAUAAAAUCUUACCAUAACUAUAUUAAGGGUUCUCCUACUUUAAUAUGAUAAAGGACAAGUUAAAAAAUAAACAAAAUACAUAUUUCAAUAUACUGGAUUAAAGAUGGCUGCACCCCUAUGAUGUAUAAAAAUAAUCACAAAAACUCUCAAGCUAAUAAGAAACACUAAAACCCUCUUCUAUUACUUUCUACAAUUAAUUUAUGAUGGAAAAUGUAAAAUUUACUAUUAUGUAUUUAUGAUGCCCUUACUACCUUCCUACGUGGAAUUUUAAAAUAAAUAAAUAAAUAUAUGAAAAAUGUUGUGAAACAACCUGCCCUGAACCCCAGGAGGAGUCUAUCUAACCUCCUCCAAACUAGAUUGAUAAUAAUUCUAUUAGUAAGGAUUCUGUCGAAAAUUCGACAGAGUCUCCUUUAUAUACAUAACAUUCUCAAUAUGAAAAUAUGAAAAUAUGAAAAUAUGAAAAUAUGUAAAACAAUCACUCCCAAAAUAAUUCAAUAUACAACAAACUCCAAUGUUCAACAUCCUCAACCAAAAUGUUGUAUUUUACUCAAGAUAUCACCAAAGUCUCAAAAGAUAAUAUUACAACUAAGUGUGUUCAGACAGACCCCAAAGGCUUCUAUCUCAUCUCAUCUCUAUCACUGUUUCUGGAGUUGAAGGGUAUUGUCUAAUAAUUUAAAAAACAAUCAUUAUAGUCAUAUUCACAUACCUUUUAACCAUACUCAUAUUCACAUACCUUUUAACCAUACUUUGAAUCACUCUUUCCUUUUUCUUGUUUAACACCUACACGGCAUCAUCUUGAUAUAGCAAAUUCUUUUCUCUUUUUUCCCAUUUUUCUCCAUAACAGUCGCACCAACGAAAUGUAAGUAUGGUUUAUUAGCAAAAAUAAAAUUUGUGAAAAGAGGUAAUCAUUUUUUAAUCACCAAAAUGUGCACAAAUUAAAUGAAACUUCCAAAAAUACUUCAUGAAAUGAAAUUUCAAACAUACUAAUGUCAUGAACUAUCUUCGCAUUGCCUAAAAUUGGAUGAGUCUGAAACAAGCCAUUUCAUUGGGAUGCAAUGUAGAAACCAUAAAAUUGGAGAUGUGCUGUAACAUUAGCUCUUCAACAUCACAUAAGCACUAAAGAAAGCCAAAAGUCUAUAAAUUGCUUUUUAAAUUAAAAAGAUGUCAGUAUAAAGAGUAUACACAAUACUUAGGAGGACCUAACUAUUCACAUAUAACUGAGCUUUUCAUCAUCAUCUAACACACUCAUUAGCAAGCUGUUGCAACUCUGCAACUGGUCACAAAAUCAGCCAGCUAACAAUUCACAUGAACAAAAUCUAGCACCAAUUAUAUCAUCAGCGAGCCAUAUCUUGGACAAUCACUUCCAUGUGUAAGGCAUCCAUCUGAAACACAUUUCUCCCAUAAUAAUAGAUCAAUCCUCUGCUAAGCACUUCCACGAACACCAAGAUUGGAACUUUUUUCUUUUUUUUUUUUGGGAGGAAAUUCAUUAACAUAAAGAAGGAACCAAAGUGAAUAUAUGCAAGUCCUGAUACUCCACAACAUUUGAAACCAAAAGACAUGCACUAGGGAGCUGGUUACUCUUUCAAGAUUGAUGGUGCCAAUUCCCUCGAUGAAAUAAAAUCUCAAGUUGGAAAAUGAAAACUUCCUCACCUCAUAUAUGAGUUGUGAGAAACAAAGAACUUGUAAUCGGGAUGACUGACUUGCAAAAGCUUAAGCCAGUUGUCUGCAGCUCGCAGCAGAGAAUUAGCUUUCUGACACUCAUAAACUCCAUUACAGUUCCAAAAAGAAACUUUGAACUUGUAUGAAGCAAGCCCGAAAGUCGGUAACGGUAGCUUAUACAACAUGUCAGCACUGUGAACCUCCCUAACAGUCAAAUUAGGGAAGUGUAGCCCUUCAGAGCUUGUACCUGCCCCAGAUAAGAUUGCAAGUGUCACUACCUAUGGCAGGGAGGACAAUAGAAAGCGCGCAUGCGCACACACACACACAUCCCUAUAUGAUGCAAGAAAGCAACUUACUCUGAAAUGGCGUGGAAAGAGAAUGAAAGGUUAGAAAGCAGGCAUCAAGGUUCUGUAAUGUUGGACCCGUGGGUAUUCUAUAUAUAGGAUACCUACAUUAAGAAUAGCACACAAACUCUUUAAGAUUGCGGAUAUGAACUCAGACGAAAAAAAUUAACUUCAAAUAGAAAAAUAACAUGGAAAAAACAUACCAUGCUACAGAUAUCCAGCUUGAAGGUAGCAAAUCGCAGCUCUUGUAUGUUCUCAGUUCUGGAAAUCGUGAUGCGAGAAUUCCAAUCUGUAUGUUGGAUCCAAGGUUUUGAGUCUUUUUUCAUGAUUAAGGUAAAAAUACUGAAAACUAAAUAUAUUGUUCUACGUAAGAACAAUGCACUUGCCUUGUCAGCCAAAGGUUCACGACUAAAUGGAGGAUCAUGCUCCAGGUAUUCAAAUAUAAGCUGGCCGGGGGGAUUGCAAAUCUCACUUUCUUCACUUGAUGAACCCACAAAGGGUUUAUUCCUCAGCGAAAGCCCACUGAAAUUCUGAAUAUUUGCAUCUGCAAUGUUCUGCUGACUCCACGUCCCAUGAACAAAAGCAUUGAUUCGCCUCUCUGCCCCGGUGUCACUGCUGCCAUCACUACUUGUCUCCCUGGAUGACUCAGCGUCACUCUCCUCACCAGGCCUCCUGUCCAAAGAAAUGAAUGAAAUUCCUUUAGACAAAGCAUGACAGUUUCAGAUCCCACCAAGGCAAUGACAGUAAUGUCAAUAAAUAAUAGACCACACAAACAAUCUGACAGGACAUUAUGACAACAGCACCAUCUUAGUUGUUUCUAACAAGAUGAGUAAUCCAUGUAAUACUUCAGCACUUGCUGCAUUUAUGAGUUCGUUAUAAUCUGAUGCUAGAAAUUACCUCCACAUCAUCAAGAACCAUACAACUAUCUAACCUAAGCUUGAAUGCUCAUCCAGCAUUUCCAACAGAAAAGGAAUGGACUGCUUCAAUGGCUAAACGAAAUACACAAGAAAUUCCCUUUCUGCUCUUCGCAGACUAAUACAAAAUUACAAGAUGCCAGCAAUAGAGUUAAGGAUAUAGCCAAGUUUUAUGAAAAGCAUAUCAAAAUAAGAACAUUUGGCAGCAAAACCCAGUAACUAAAAAAGAAAACUGUUAUAAAUGAGAAUUCUGGGACAAUGUCUCACCUCAACCUUGAGGAAGGUCUCGAUGGGUCUAUGUACAGCUGAAUGCCAGACAAGUAUGGUACAUAAUACUGCUUGACAGACUCGUUCCCAUCCAACAAAAGGGGGACACCAGCUCCAUAAGCACUCCAUUCCUUAAAUGAUUCCCACAAAUCCCCAAGCACAAAGUACGGCUGAAAUUCUGUUUCCUGGCUUCUCCAUCUCCUCACACUUGUCUAUAACAAAUUCCACAAUGUAACAAAAAAGGAAGAAGUAAAGAAAAGGAGAACAGAGAAACCGAGACAUAUUGAACAAAUGCCACAUAAAUACAUUCCAACAAGAAAAGAUUGCAUUGUGGAGAAUUUUUUAUUUACUUUUUUUGGUCCUGAUUAAAGCACAAGAGAAAUGUGCAUAAUUAAUAUUGAUUCAUAAAUACUCUCAAACAAUCAAGAUAACUGUAUCAUCAGCAUGCUUGCUAGUAGAAAGGAAAAAGAAAAGUGAAGGAAAGGACAAAGACAAAGCUCCAUUCUUCUUGUCCUUUUGGUUGCUAUGAUAAACGUUCACGGAAAUACAGUUCUUUCACUAAUUGACAUCCCCUAACAACAAAAGCAAGAGACAUUUAUAUCUAAAUCAGACAAUAUGCGCUGAAUUUACCAUACACAUAUCCACAUUCAUUUACUUUUACAUAAAAGAAGGUAAAAUCAUAAAUUAUAUCUCCCCAUCAAUAAGCUUUAUUGUUUUUUUUUUGGGUCCCUAUACUCUAUUCCAUUCACCACCGUAAGCAUUUGGCUUGUGCAUCCCCCAUUACCUUUAGUGUCAUUGUUUCCAACCAACCAAACAGGCAAAACAGCCUCUCUUCUACCCUUUCUUUUUCAACCAUAUAUUGCUUCCCUAAUUUCUCUCUUACUGAACUAUGAGUUAUUCACUAAUUCCCUUCCAAGCAACCUAAUAAACCAAAAUUUAAAGACUAAAAUUUUCAUUCAGCUCCAAACAUAUCAACAUUUUCUAACGGAAUAACAAAGAACCACCACUACAACAAAUCCCUAAAAACCAAAAUUACAUGGAAGUCAACCCCAAUAGACAUAAAUAUACUAAAGACUGCAUUCCAACCCCCUCAAAAUUCAUAAAAAUUCUAAAUUUUCAUCAUCUAAACUAAUAAAACUAAUAGAAAUUGCAAUAAGAGACAAAAAUUAACAGCUUUCAAAACUCAUUAAUAAAGCAUAGUAAUAAUUUCGACAAUUUCAUCAAAAUUGAUUUUAAAAAAAAUGACAAAAAGUGAUUUUUUUUUUUUUUUUUGUGACAAUCACCUUAGGAAGAUACUGAGAGGGCACCACAGGAGUCGUGUGCUCCAAGAACCUAUCCAAAUUCGUCGAUUCACCAAACGAAUUCGAAACCGAUUCACAUUCAUCGCUCUCCGCUGUUCUCUUCUCCGAACAACUCAACUUCUCCAACCUCAGCCGCUCGCGCUCCUCCUGCACUCUUUGUUUCUCCUCCUCUUCCUCCUGUUGCCGCCGCAACAACUGCUGCUUCCGCACGUGCGGCGGAUUGUAAAACCGGUUCUCCCCGCGCCCUCCGCGGCCGAUCGGAACCGUUCUCGAACCGGACAUUAUCGCAAUCGGAAGGAGAAUUAAAACGAAACGACGCAGUUUUUUGAGUUCCCAAUCGAAAGAAACUGAAACGAAGGUUUUCAAUAAAAGUGAACAGUGAUGUGAAGAGUAAAGGUUUCGACUUUCAAGAUCUAGGGUUUUAGUUUUCGCUGUCGUUAAUUAUAAUAAUUAUUUUUAUAAUCGCGAUUAAAUUUUUUAAAUAGUGAUUUGUAUUAUGCAGAUGUGGCCAGCGAUGUGAUGAAGUGAAGCGUUUUGUGUAAUUGUGUUGGACGAGAAAAAUAAUGGAAGUUCAGAUUCUUCUGAAGCAGAUAUUUAUUAGUUUGAAACUCGAAAAGAGUAGGCAACUGUGGGAUAUACUCAACAGACGCAAGAAGAAUCCAGAAUGAUGAGAUCAUCAAUGUAUUUUAUUCGAGAAAUUUCUUGGCUUUUUUUUUUUUUUUUUUUUUUUUUUUAUUUUUUUGGUUUCAUUCAUUAUCUUGGACUAAUCAUUUUGCUAAUUUAGAUAAUGUUAUUAUUAUAAGUAAUGAUACAGUCAUAAACUAUUGUACAAAUUUAUUUUGUACAAACUGACGUGGCACUAAUUCACUGGUUGAAUAAAAAUAUAAAAUAAUGAAAACAAAUCAUGUGGGCCAAGUGAUAUUUAAUUCAACCAAUCUUAUCAUGCCACAUAAGUUUGUACAAAAUAAGUUUGUACAAGAGUUUGUGGCUAUAUCAUUACUCUAUUAUUAUUAUUGACUAUAGAGUUGUAAUUAUCGUAAAAUACUGAUGGGAUCUGAGUUUAAGAUCUUUAUAAUAUUGACCCAAAAUGGGAUAUUCUUAAAUUCAUUUUCAUAUUGGAAACUUCUUCUGUCACCAUGUCUUCAUAAUAAUUAAAGUUUUAAUAUUGAAUAAUUCAUUUUAUGGUGGCUAAGGGUGAAACAAAAUUGUAAUUGAUCCAAACAAAGCUUCCCUUAAGAUCUCAAAUCUUUAACCAUUAAAGAAGAAAAAAAAAUGUGUUUGGUGUGUGAAGUUAGAUUGGGUUGAAUUCCAUUAAACUAUUUUCACAAAUAUUGCUGCAUACUCAUACUGCAUGACCUUAAUUCUAUGUGUUUUUUUUUUCUCGCCUUAUGAAUCCAUUAUUUCAUUUGGUGCUUCACAUACCUGAAGUGACUAUAUAGCAUGCAUAGAAAAUUUUUGCAUUUUACUAGAAAAUAUAAGCAAUCGGAAAACCAUGAAUCUGCAGUCGAUAUAGAUUUACAGUUCUAAGCCCAAAGCCCAAAGCCCAAAGCCCAAGAAGAAGAAACCCCAGUUUGUGGCCCGAUUUUACAAAAAUUUCAGAGCCCAGCAUGCCCAAAGAUAAAAUCUGAGAAUUUUCUUCUAGAAGCACAUGAUAUGAUCUUAUGAGAUCAAUUCGUGUGCUGCAGGAUUUUUAAUCAUACACAUUAUAAUAGUUGAGUAAUUGUGGAGAUAUGUUUUAUAUUUAUUUAAAUGGAUAUUCAUUCUAAGGGACAACCAUUCAAUGUUGAUGUAAUUUUUAUGUCGUGGUUAUUUGUUCAGGAUAUAUAAAUAAUUAAAAUUUAAACGUACAUUAUUAUAAAUGUACGUGCAACCGAAGAUUAUUAAAAAUGAUUAGUACUAAAUCCAAAUUUAUUUUUAAAAAAUGAAGGCGGCCUAAAUGAUUGGCAUGUUGUUUUUUCACCAGCAUUUUAUAAAUUUAUCCGUUGAAAUCAAUGAAGUUAAUAAUUUGUAGUUUUUUUUAUUAUGAAAAAAAAUUCAAUUUUGUUUAUAUCCUUCUAGAGGAACAAUAUUCAUCCAACUCAUAUGUGCAUUAUAUCCAUUUUUUUUUCUUGGGUAAUAAAUAAGUAUUGCCUCAUAAACUUUUGAUUAUAUCCAUAAAUUGACAUAAGAAAACUCUUCUUUUGUUUUACAUGAUAACAUGAACCUUAUAUGUUAUUCUUGGGUGCUCAUGCUUUGAUAUGAUCUGACUUGAUCCACAAAUAAUUAUAACUUAAUCCAAUCCGAACUCAACCUAAAAUUUUGAUCCGAUCCGAUCCGAUCCGAGUUUAAAUCAGACCAAAUCGGAUUACAAGUUCAAAUAACUUUUUUCCCAACUCAAACAACUUAAAACCCAAUCAAAAUGACCCGAACUUGAAUUUGCCCACCCCUAAUACCAUUUGAUAGCUGACCUACAAGUAACCAUUGUGUUUUUUGUAUUUUUUUAAAAAUCAUGGAUUGUGUGACCCUAGUCAUCACUCUUCUUGGUCAAUUAUUGUGUUGCAUGGUCGAACAGACCAUUUACAUCCAUCAUCUUGAAGUUAACUUAAACAAAUUGAGAGAUGCAAACAAAGUCUCGAUGGCCUUAAUAACAAUGUUAUAGGGAGAGUUGAGCAUGCGAAAGAAGGUACUCGCCUAGAAAGCAUAUGGAAGAGUGGUUGGAGAGAGCACGUCGAGAGUUACAGGAAGUUGAAUCCAUUUUGCAGAAAGGUGAAGACAAGAAAGACUAGUUAUGUACGUAUAAUAAUUGUUCAAAGAAUUGUUAUUUCAACUACAAUUAUGGUAAGAAAAUUUUUGAGAUGACAAAUGCUGCCAUUGAGUUUCUAGCACAAGUAAAAUUUAAUGGAGCUACUGAUUGAAGUCCCUUUCUACUGUGGACGAGAUACUGUAAGAAGUCAGUGGGCAUUAGCUUUAGACUAAAUGAAGUUUGGAGCUAUAUUGAAGAUGAUGAUGUGAGAAUCUUUAGCUUGUAUGGAGUUAGAGUGAUUGGGAAGAGCACUUUGUUAAACCUACUUAAUAAAAAUUUCAGCCAACCAAACCUCAACCUCAACUUUGACAUGGUAAUUUUGGUUAAGACUUUUGGAGUCUGGAUUACGGAUUUCAAAUUCUUCGUGGAGCAACAAGGAUAAGAACGGCAGAGCAUUUGAAAUAUUCAGAAAAUUAUACAACAAGAUGUUUGCCUUCUUGUUGGAUGAUUUACGAACAACAAUAUCGUUAUUAGAAGUUGGUGUGCCUCUUCACAGUAGAUCGAAGAUAGUUUUGACCACCAUAUUUGAGACAGCGUGCAGAAGCAUGAGCUUUGACAAAUGUUAAAAAGUCAAUUAUUUUUUCAGAACAAGAAGCAUUUAAUCUGUCCUAGCUCAAGUUCACCUACGCUAAACUGAACUCUCAUUCUUAUGUACUUGCAAAACUUGUGUCUAGCGUCUCUGAAGGCCAUUCCCUUUCUCUUAUUACCAUAUUCUUAUUACUAUCGGAUGCGCCAUGCCUUGUAAUAUAGGCGACCCUGAUCUUGGCAUCAUACAAUUGAUGAAUUGACAAAAUAUCGGUAAACAAGAAGUUUGCCUUCUUGUUGGAUGAUUUACGGACAUCAAUAUCAUCAUUAGAAGUUGGUGUGCCUCUUCACAGUGGAUCAAAGAUAGUUUUGAUUACCAUAUUUGAGAGAGCGUGCAGAAGCAUAAGCAUUGACAAAUGUUAAAAGGUCAAUUAUUUUUUGGAACAAGAAGCUUUUAAUUUGUUCAAGCUCAAGGUCACCUAUGGUAAGUUGAUGAUACACCUGCAAAACUUUUGGCUGGUAUGUGUGAAGGCCAUCUGCUUUCUCUUAUUACUAACGGAUGCGUCAUGCCUUGCAUUAUUGGGGACCCUGCUCUGUCAUUUUGCAAUUGAUGAAUUGACUAAAUAUCGGUUCGAUUUUGAAGAUAUGGGGACUCAUUUCCUUGCUCACUACAAUCACUUUUCAGGUAAAUUUUUUUAACCUUCAUUUUUCUUUGUUUCCUCAAAUUGUUAUGCCCGCUGAUCUCUAGUAUAAGGCACAUUCAAAAAUAUCCCUUUCAAGCAAAAGCAUGAUGUUUAAAGGUAAUAAAAGACAAACAGUAACAACAAAGUGUUGGCUCCACUGGCAAUGGAGUCCCCUUAAGUGGCUUGACUGAGUUUGCUCCCCAAUUCGAGUCUCAGGGAAGUUGCCUUUGUUGGGAGAACCUGUGCCUCUCGGUUCGAGCGGGGAUUUCUAGUAUGGGUUGUGGUACAGACUUAAAAGUGCCUCCCACAGUUGAGGCCCUCCCCAAAAUACCUCGUGGUCAAAACCAAAAAAAAAAAAGACAAACAGUUCUUUAGAUAUAACAGUGACCUUUGCUUGGCAUUUUCAAACCAACUUUAACAACUACCCAUUAUCAUAAUUUUAAACAAAUGCUUCAGUUUCGAAGUGAAAUGAUAGAAUUCGAUCAUGAAUAGAGUGCGCGAAGUGAAAUAUUUUCAGUAAUGAUUUUUUACAAUGAGCUAAUACAUACACUCAAGUGUUAGGACAUGGUAUGUAAAAAAAAAAAAAAAAAGAAGUGUUGGGACAUGAUUUUCGAUUGAAUUAGCUACUUAGUUCCAGCAAUAAAUGGCACAAAUACUGGAUAUGGUUUUGUAGAUGGCCCAAAACGAAAUAGAAAUCCACAUUGUCCAGCCCAUUUUUUAGGAAAAAUACAGAGCCCUGUGUGCCCAAAACUCAUUGCCCAAUCUUCUAGAAACAGAAUAAAAUUACCAUAAAAAUCAAUGCAUAUGCAGCUCGCAGAUUGACAUGCAAGUUGUGAACAUGCGGAAUAGUAAUAGUAAUCAGUGGAUUUUCUGUCUGUUUUACCUAAAACUUUCAACUGUACAAGUAAACAAAUAUUAGAAAUUCAGUAUUAAAAGUUUGGGUGCAGCUGCUUGCUUAAUUUAUUGGCAUUUAUUAACCAUGUGGAUUAAUUUAUUGCACAAUAUAAAGCAUAUGGGUGUUUUAUUGAAAAUUUAUCGAGUAUUAUAUUUAAACAAUUACAACAAAGACUAGCAACUGUAUUGGAGCUUAGCUAUUUGCUAUUGGCUAUUUAAUCUGGUUUUCUAGAAAGCAAAUUAUUUAUAAAUAUUUUUGGUAAUGGGCGGUGCCACAGUAGACAGAACACCUUCAUGGAAUAUGCACGCACGCUUUGAAUUCAACCAAGUUAUCUCCCUCACUUCCAUGUCUAUAUAAACCCUUGAGUUGUUCGUCAGUCUCAACACAAACUCAAAAAUCAUCUGCAUUUGAAGCAAAUUCAUUCAUCAUUUUAACUUCUUGUAGUGUGUGCAUUUCUCUUUCUCUUUUUAAGCUACUUAACAUGGGUGUCAUUCGCUUUGAGAAAGAGGCUCCAGCUGCUGUUGCUCCUUCAAGAAUGUUCAAGGCUUUCGUUGACUCUCACAAUCUUUUACCAAAGAUAGCACCACAAGCAUUCAAGAGCAUCGAUAUUCUUCAAGGAGAUGGAGGCGUGGGUACUAUCAAACUAUGGAACUUUGCUGAUGGUAAGUCUUGUUUCUGCUUGUUAAUUUUCCAAGUCCAAGAUUCCCCUUUGUACCACGAUUCAAAUUAAUCGCACCUGACAUUAAUAAUAUUUCAUUAUCCGUCAACUUUUUAACUUCAUAAUUAGUGUUGAUUUUUUUUUUUGUUUUUUACAAUGGUCAGAUUUUACUAUUUCAAAAGUAUAUAUAUCAAAUUAUUUAACUUUGUAAUGUCAGAGUGGUUCAUGACAAAGAACUGAUUAAUUUCGAGGGGGGGAAAGAAAAGGCUUGGUCAUUUUUCUCAUUAAUCAUUACAUCGUGCAUGUUGUUCGUAAAGCGUAACAUAGAUAAGCUAACGAAGAUUCAAUGUAAUUCACAGGUGGUGAUUUCAAGCAUUCGAAGCAAAGAAUUGAUGCACUUGACAAGGACAAUCUUACAUGCAAGUAUACUGUCUAUGAAGGUGAGGGAGCAGCUGCAAUCUUUGAGAAAGCAGUGUACGAUGUUAAGUUCGAGGCUUCUGGAAAUGGUGGAAGCAUUUGCAAGGUUGCUGCUGAGUGCCAUAUAAAGGGUGAUCAAGAGCUCAAAGAAGAGCUGAUGAAGGACGCCGAAGAGAAAGCAACUGCAUUGUACAACAUUGUGGAAGCACAUCUCUUGGCUAAUCCUGAUCUCUAUGCCUAAAUCGCAUCAUGAUUGGCGUUUUCGAUUUCUGAAUGUGUUUGCUAAUUGAAUAAAGGGUUGUCUCACUGUCAGCUUCUAAUUUGUUGUUUUACUUGUUUCGGCUCAUCUUUGGUUCUUCUAAUAAUUAUGUUUAGUUGAAGCUUGAAUGUUACCUGUUUGUUCAAUAAAUGUGUAUGGUCAAUAUAUAAAUGACCGUUAAUUUUAUUGCUUUUAAUAAAAGUGAACAGUGAUAUGAAUGGUAAAGGUUUCAAUUUCAGGAUCUAGGGUUUUAGUUUUAGUUUUCGUUAAUAAUAACAAUAAUUUAUAUAUAAAUAUUGGGAAUGAAAGGGGAAUAGAGUCUUUACAUACUUUAUAGCUAGAACUUAUGCCCUCGAUAUUAAAUUAUAUCAUUCAAUGUUAAUUUACGGAGGAUAAAAAAUUGUAGAUACACAAAAACUAAAUUUCAUAUUAAAUAUAUAAAAAAAAAGAGUCGCACCAUACUUUUGAAACUUGAAUCAAUGUAAGUAGCUUAAAAAUGUAUCAUUCUAUGGUGGUUUAGUGGGAAAAAAAUAAAGAUACAUAAAUACAAAGCUUCAUAAUAAAUCUCAAUUUUUUUUCCAAAAUUAACUUGAAUUGGAUUAUACUAGACUAAACUAUUAGUAUAAUUAUUUUUAUAAAGAAUGGGACUAUUAGCACCCCUAUAAUUUUUUUUAGAGCUUUUUUUUUUUGGUAUAUUAACCAUUUGAUAUCCAAAAACCACAUUGAUCUCUAAUUGGGUAAGCCUACCAAGGCGGCAAAGCUCUUGCAGCGAAUAUUUAACGCACCUAAAUUCUCAAGCCUCAAACCAAGAACCUUGGUUAAGUUAGAACAACUUUAUACCAGCUGAUCUACGAGCUCGUUGGUUUUAAAAGCUAUUUUCGAUCAGGAGCUAUUUUAACUUCUAAAACAUCAUUUUCUAAUUUUUUUAGUUUCUUCCUCUCUACUCCAAAUCUCCAAAUAUGAUUUUCUUACACAAUAUAUAUAUAUAUAUAUAUAUAUAUAUAUAUAUAUAUAUAUAUAUAUAUAUUAUUUAACUUCUAAAACACCCUUUUUAAUAGAAUCACGUGGAUUAAAAAGCCAAGUGUUGUGAAAGAAAAAAAAAAGGAAAAAAAUUGUAAAAACUGUUAUUAUGACUAUAUAGGUGUAAAUGCCAGAGAAACAAACUUAUGGAGAAAGAAAAUAUAGGUUGAUUUAUUUUGUCCUUUAAUAUAAUUGUGAUAAGAGAGGGGAUUUACAAAAAUUAUGAAGGAGUGCUAAUAGUCCCACUCAUUCACAAAUUUUGCCGUGUAUUGUAUAUUGCAUGACCUCAAUUCUGUAAUUUUUCUCGACAAAUGAAUAGGUCUGGUGCUUCACAUACUUCAAGUGAGUAGUAAGCGUAGAAAAUUUUAGCUAGAAAAAAGAAGCAAAAAGAAAAUAAAGAACAAUAUGCCAAUAUUUGCACUGCUACGAAAGUAAAAUCAUGAAUGUUCAUCUGCAUGCAAAUGAUCGUAAAUAUUGGACAUUUUUUUUUGAAUUACAUGAGACUAAUGCUCAUAUUACAACUCAUAUUGUAUGAGAUUUACAACUGAUAUUUACAAUCAGACAAUUACUAAGACUAGUUUACAUUAAUUCUUAUAUAGUACUGUCCAGAUUUCACCCUCUCAAAUAUUCGAGAGAUGUCUACUCCACUCACAUUUCGAAAGGAAGAAGAUUGUCUUCACUUAAUUAUAUAAUAUAAGUAAGGAAUGAAAUAAGUCCCUACAGGCAUCGCGGGGGCUCGAAUUACUAACCCCACAGUUGUGAGUGUAGGAUCUUGGCCAUUGGACCAAAGGCCCAAUGAUUGUAAAUAUUGGACAUUAGGUUCAUAGUUUUAGCCCGAGAAUCCAAAAAGAAAAAGAACCCAACCUUCGUGGCCCCAAUUUAAAAUAAAUUCCGAGCCCAGCGUCUACAAAGAGAUGAAAUCUGAGAUUGAUAUCCCAGAAGCAGAACAUAUUCAUUGUGACAAUCAAUGCUUAUGCUGCGGGACUGUUAAUUAAAAAAAUAAAAAAAUUUCUUUCAUUCCGAUAAGAUGAGUAUCAAACCAAAACACAAUAAAAGUACACUCUAAAUAUAAUAAGUUUUGUCAUUUAUCCGUUGAAAGUCACUCAAAAAAUUUAUUCUGAAUGUUGGAUGUAUCCGGAUUGAAAAGGCACGUAACAAAGCUUGUGUCCUUGAAAAUUGGAUACCUACACCUGAAGAAAUAAAAGAAAUAAAAUACUAUAUAAAGGGUAAUAGUUGGAGCCCAACUAUUGGCCUUUUAAGAUUAAAGCUAGAAUCCUCAUGUUAGAUAAAUUUUUUUAGGUGAAUGUCAAAUUCGUUAUUGAUUGUCUUGAAUGCCACUCACUUCCAAGCCCUCUAUAUAAACCCUUGAGGAGUUCUUCAUCUUCACAACAAACACAAAAGCUAUCGCUACCGCAGCAAAACUCAUAUUUAACAUGGGUGUCCUUCGCGUUGAGAAAGAGGUGCCAUCCGCUGUUGCACCUUCAAGAUUGUUCAAGGCUUUAAAUGACUCCCACAAUUUGCUGCCGAAGAUAGCGCCUCAAACAAUUAAGAGCAUCGAUAUUCUUCAAGGAGAUGGAGGUGUUGGCACUAUCAAGCUGUUGAAGUUUGCUGGUGGUAAGUAGUAUACAUAGCUUUAUUAAUUGCUACAUGCAUCAUGCUCGUUCUGUUUAAUUUUCAAAUCCAAAAUCUCACAAACUUAAUUAAAAAUGUAAUUUAAGAAGAUUGAAUUAGUAUUGGGAUUGACAGGUGGCGAUUACCAGCAGACGAAGCAAAGAAUCGAUGCACUUGACGAGGCCAAUUUAACAGGCAAGUACACUACGUAUGAAGGAGAUGGGAUUUUGAAAUUGGCUGAGAAAAGUGUGUACGAUAUUAAGAUCGUGGAUUCUGGCAAUGGAGGAAGCAUCUUCAAGGUUGUUGUGGAGAUCCAUGUUAAUGAUGAUAAACUGGUCAAUGAAGGGUACAUAAAGGAAUCCGAGGAACAAGGAUUGGGAUUAUUCAAGCUUUUGGACGCCUAUCUCUUGGCUAACCCCAAUCUCUACGCCUAAAUUAAUCAUCAUAUGCAUUGGCUUUGCCAAUUGCGAAAUUUCUAGCUAGCUAAUCAAAUAAGGCUCGUGUCAUUGUUUGUAAAUAAGCUUUUGAGGCUGAAUGUAAAUAUACGUACGUACGUAGUGUGUUCGCUAAAUAAAUGUCCAAUCUGCUGGACAUAUAUAAGAUAAAUAUCGAUCGUGUAUGAUCAGUUUAUACGUACAUGUUUGCAGUUUCAAUUUCUAAACUUUACUGUUUUUACUUAUUUAUUGAAGCAUAUAAAUACGAUAUCUACUGGGGACCAAGUAUAAAUAAGCUUAAGGAAUCUAAAUCCAAACAAUUAAUAAUAUAUUAUAGCACAGCGUAGGGUUGGGGCUGGGCUGUACCACGUAUAAAUAACUUGGUGACAUGUUCCAAUAAAGAUUCGAUGAUUUGAACCAAUAAAGUGUUGGCUCCACUGGCAAUGGAGUCCCCUUAAGUGUCUUGACUGGGUUUGCUCCCCAGUUCGAGUCGCAGGGAAGUCGCCUUUGUUGGGAGAACCUGUGCCUCCCGGUUCGAGCGGGGACUUCUAGUCUGGGUUGUGGUAUGGGCUUAAAGGUGCCUCCCACAGUUGGGGCCCUCCCCAGGAUACGUCGUGAUUAAUAUAAAAAAAAAAAAAAAAGAUUCGAUGAUUUGAGAUGUUCAUGCAUGCAUGCAUUUUCCAUCUUUCUUCGCCAAGGCGACCCAAGCUCUUAUUUUUUUCUUUUCUUUUCUUUUCUUCUUCUUCUUCUUUUGAAAAGAAAGUAAACCUUUGAUUAUCAAAGGCCUAGGUAGUCACUAAUACACUGUCACAAGAACGGGCGAUAGAAUGAGAACCUAAAAUUUGAGUCCUACUCACUCUAAAUUUUUCCUUUAUGUUCUAAAUGAAAAGCAGUUUAAUACAUUAGGUCUCAUGAGGUAUUCGAGAAAAUUUUAUAGGUCUGGCUACCUAACUCAGAUUUGUAAAGUGAAACCACAAUCAAAACGGACCUUUAAAAAAAAAAAAUACUACAACAACACAACACUACAACACAAUAAAGUUUCUGGAUUUGAGCUGCGCCAAAUGACAGUAUUACAACAACGAAAAACUGUUACAACAACAAAAAACUAGAAACAAAAACAAAGAAUACAUGACCGACGUUUAUUAUGAAGACAAGGUGAAGUGCAUACAAUGAGCUAAGAUAGACUUGGAAGUAUUGAUAUGUACUCUAGGAUUAUCAAUUGAAUCAACUCAGCUGGCUUUGUUCACCAUAAUUUAAGCUCCAGUGUAAGGCUCGUUGUGUUCUACAAAGCGUACUUUUUCCAUUUCAUAAUAUUGAAAUUUCUCAUAUUGUUAAGUAACACUUAAAUAAACAAGGUUAUAAAUAUGGUUUGAUAAGAUUCCAACAAAAAAAAAAUUCACUUUUUCAACUCUCAGAAACCCUAGCUGUUUCAACCAACGAAGCCAAAGACCAGAAAUACAUCAUCACCAUCUUCAUCUUCUUACAGCUACACCGAACAACAUAUCCUAGUCAUUUUAGCUCUCAUUUCAAAAUAGGGAUUCUCAGCAUCUUCCGUCCGACAAAUUGAUCAUAUCAAAAAGAGAACAAAUAUUGAUUUGGGACAGCAACCAAGGGGAAUCAUUAUUGAUGGGAAUCUUAUAUCAUCUUCACUUAUGUAGGAUUAACAAGAAUCAACUCCUACCACGUCUUUGAUGGAUAAAUUCUACUCAAUUUAGUCGCUAAGAGUGUGGGACAUGCCAAAUUUUAAACUUCAGCCGUAGAUCUGCCAUCUGUUCCAAACACUAAUUUUGGCUGCCUCAAACUCAUGCACCCACUUGAUCUAUAUAUAUCAGAUGAAACCAGAAAUAGGAACUCAAUCAAGCUCACCUACUCACUUUUGAUCACGGUUGUCCAGAAGCUAGCAGAGAUUGUUUCUGAUCUGAAGAAUAUGGAAACUUCUUGCACAGGUUAGCUUUUAGCCCACGUUCAGUUGAAUAUCAUUUAUAAUCUUAUUUUACAAUACAUCCAUUUGUGAAUAAGUUUUCUAUUAUGAGAUUUUCAGGUAAGAACGAAUGGACGGAGUGUUUAAUACUUUUUGUAAUAUUUAGUAUUGUUGAUGACGAGAAAAUAAGUGACAAAGAUCUUGAUCUUCUCGUUGUUCCUCAAUACGGGAGAAACCCUGAUUAUGCUGGUUAAGUAUUAUAAUAUUACACUUUCGUGUUAUGUGUAAUUAAAUAAAAGGAUGGAGAAUGUUAUUAUCUGUCAAUAAUGUGAACAUCAGUUUGUGCUUAUGUACUUUGUUGUUAAUAAAUAAAACUAUUGUGCUUCUAUGAGUUCAUUAAGUUAUUCCGUCAAUGGAUAUAAAAUUGUGUGUGUGUGUGUACGUAUAUCUAUUUGAUUCAUUAUGCUUUCUUUCUUCGUGAAUAUUUUUGUUAAUCAAACUCUACACACUAAGGGAACCGAGUCCUUUAUAAUUAAUGAAGAAUAUUAUUUAUGUUGCUAAUUAAAUGGCAGAUAUCAUCAUGAUAAUAAAAUUUUACCAUAACUAUAUUAAAGGUUCCGUUACUUUAAUAUCUUAAGAGACAAGUUACAAGAUAAAGAAAACACUUAUUUCAAUAUAUUAUAGCCCUCCUUCAAUAAAUCCUUACUGAAAAUUAUAUAUAUAUUGGAAAAAGGACAGGUAUACCCAUAAAAUUUGGGAAAAUGAUUACCAGUAGAAUCACUUGAACUAUCACAUUCAUGAGGACUCGAUUUCUCAUAUGAGAUGACUUGGCCUAUUCACAUUGAAUUUCCUUAUGAAAUGGUUGGAAACACUUGUUCUACUAGAAGAAUUGACAGUGAAAAUUCUCAAGUUUUUGACAAGAGACACCAAAACCAUCUUUUAUUACUUUUUACAACUAACUUAGUUGUAAAAUGUAAAAUUUACUAACUUUACUUUCAUUGAUGCAUUUAUUAUCUUGCUACAUGGAAUUUUAAAUUGAAUAAAUAAAUAUCUGAAAAACGUGACUCAACUCAUUAACAUUAAUUUAAUUUUGCUGCCAUUGCCACCAAAUCUAACAUCAAACCCUAACCCAGUUUUCAAUACAUGCACAAAUCAGCCAAAGCAUGCAAAAUCAGUGGCUAAAACUGAUAUGAAAAUUAAAAAAAAAAAAAAAAAAAAGGAACAACAACAAACAUUUGCCAGAGCCGAAAACCCACGACCCACUGACUACGAAGAUGAAGAAUAGUAUAGAAUGUAUAUGGUGUAGAAAUAAUUAUGUAAAUAACCACGUCCAUAAGUUGCAUGUUGUUACAAAUUAUUUUUAAUUUUGUAAUAUUUUUUGUUAACUCAAAGUAAUAUGAAAUUGGUGAAAAUUAAAACAUACAUAGGUGUUUAUAAAUUUAUCCAUAAAUAAAUUAUGAGUAUAUCACUAAAUACAAUAUUUUUAAAUAAUAAAAAAAUCAAUUUUCAUUCGCCAGUUAAAGCGCGGCAAAAGAUUUUUUUAUAAAAAAAAUCACUUAGUUCAAACUCUCAGUUUACUUUUGUCACUUGUCAGACCUCAUUACUCUCUCCACCAUUCAAGCUAAUUAAUCAAGCCUCUUAAUCAUCGUCCUAAUAACUGCCACAAAAGGAAAUGAGUGAAUCAGGUACUUUUAUCUUUAAUUUCAUUGGUUUAAACGGAACCUAUCAAGCAAUCGACUAUGCCGUUGCCAUAUUUACAUUGAAUUGGGAGAGAUCAGGUGGAGGAUUGUGGUGUUAAUUUUCUGCAUCAUAUCUUCUCCUUAGAUGGGGGCGGGUUCGAAUAUUGAACUUUGACUUAAUUUUAUAGUAGGUUAUUUGAAAAUUGACACAAAAGUAUUAACUAUUUGAUUGAUGUUCAACAUAAGAAUUAAGACAAGCCUUACUAAAUUUGAAGGAAUUUCCAAGGAUAUAUUUGUGUAUUGAUUUAAUUAAUUUGUAGUUAUAUAAUAUUAGAAGAGGUGAAUGAUGGGUCAUGGGGCAAGUUCUUCAGAAAUUCAACUAAUAUAAUAGCUGCAUUCAUUUAUUCUUAUAGUACUAGAAGUUCAAAUUAUAUAAUUAAUUUGACAGUUGAAGUGGUGUUAAAACUGAGAUCGAUGAAUCUGUUAAGUUGGCGUUAAUGAAUAUGAGACUCUGUGAUGUAUAUAGUUGGCUCCAAAGACUUUCUCCAUUAUGAGAAUGUAAACAUAAAUGAAGAGAUUUAUGGGGUCUAUAGAGCAAUGGCCAUGAGGCGUAAAAGAUAACGUGCGUGUCCACAUGUCAUAUUAUGAUUAUUAAGAAUUUGUGGGUUGAUGGCACCCAACUAAUUAGGUGAUAAUUUUUAAUUUAAGAUGUGUUGGUUGGUUUCAUGAGCUAAUGUUUGGUAACGUGAUUGGAUAAUUAUAGUUUUAAAACUAUAGUACUAUUAAAAUAUAAAUAUUUAUUGUCGUGGUUUAAAAAUCAAGUUAAUUUAAUCUUAUACUUAUUCUAUCAAAAAUUUGUAAUGUGUCUAUUAUUUUUGUCAAUAUUAUUAUUUAAAAGUCAUAUUUACCAUAUAUUAUUAAUUUUUAUAUCAUAGUUAAGUGUGUAUUUUUUGCAGCAGUUGCGACUUAGGAUGACUAUCUAGUUAUUCAACAUUUGUUGGGGUACAUCGCUACAGUCAUUAGUUUGUUAUCCGUUCGCAUUGGAAAGUUCACCCAAUUCCCGGGUUAAUUUGUGAAUAAUAUUGUCAAAGAUAAAGUAUUGGGACUUUAUUAUUAUUAAGAAUCAUAAUCAGACAAGUACUGCAUACACCGAUCAAAAUCUAACAGUUGGGAGUUAACAACUGUCUUUGAAGCAUCUAAUUUUGCAGCAAUCAAAUCUGGUGUUAAUUUCCGCCCAAGUUUGAAAAAACAUAAUUCAAAUUAAUUUCCAGGCCGGUAGCCAGCCCUUAUUUAUGGAUCGUUCGAUCUCUAAAUGUCAAAUCUAAUGCUUCCAAGGUCUAUUUAUGCCCUUAAGUUGUUCUCCAUUUACGAAAACUCGAUCAAAAUCAUUUUUUUUUUCUAAUAAAGCAAGUUCAUUAUCACAAUUAUUUUCAAUUGUAUUGACAACAUGGGUGUCAUGCGCUUUGAGAAAGAGGUCUCAGCUGCUGUUGCGCCAUCUAGGAUGUUCAAAGCUUUCUUCCUUGAGGCUCACAAUUUUCUGCCAAAAUUGGUGCCUCAAGCAAUCAAGAGCGUUGAGAUUCUCCAAGGAGAUGGAGGUGCUGGUAGCAUUAAAAUAACCAACUUUGCUGAUGGUAUGUCUUAUUCGAUCGAGUUGUCACAUAUGUGUAAACAUAUUUAACAUUUUAUUGUACUUAACUAUAGUAUAAUGCUUUUACAUUUUUAAAAUCAUGAAUCAAUUUAGUACUCAAGAAAUUAGGAUUCUCGCCUUAUUUGAUUUUUGAUACAACAUUAAAUUCAUACUUAUUACAUACCCAUAUAUAUGGGAAAAAAAUAUCAAAACCCUUCUUUGGUAAAAUUAUUUAUUUUUCCUAUUAUUUCAAGAUCCACCAAAAUUUCCUUUAAAGGGUAAUUGAGUCAUUUUGUAAUAGAAAAUCUGAUAGUUGAAAAACGAAUGGAUUUUAAAACUUAAUUUUGAAGUAAAAGUAUGUGAUGUGGUGAACAAAAAACAAUACCUUCGUUUUUUUUAGUAACAAACCGAGUUCUGCUAAUGAAAGUUUGGUGUGAUUGACAGGUGGUAAUUUCAAGUACGCGAAGCAUAGAAUUGAUGAACUUGACAAAGACAACUUUGGGUGCAAGUACGCUGUGAUUGAAGGAGAUAUGUUGGGGACAAUCCUGGAAUCAAUUGUAUACGAUGUUAAAUUCGAGGCUUCUGGCAAUGGUGGAUCCAUCUGCAAGGUUGCUUCUGAGUUCCAUACAAAAGGUGAUCAAGAGAUCAAAGAGGAGGCACUCAAGGAAGCUGAAGAGAAAGCAAUGGGAUUGCACAAGAUUGUGGAGGCACAUCUCUUGGCAAAUCCUGAUCUCUAUGCUUGAGUUAAAUUAUUUAUCUUUGGUUUCAUUUUACUAUUUAAAUAUAUGCAUGGCUACUGGUACUGAAUAAGGGUUGUGUCACUAUAUAUGAUUUGUGAGCUUUAAUUAUAUAUGUUUUUUAAUUUCUUUGCGCGCAGUGGAAAUGUUUACUUGAGCCUUCAAUGUCGUGCCUGUGAUUGUUCAAUAAAAUGGCCGAAACUGUUGGAUCUUUCGAUUAUAUUUCCAGUUUGAUUUCCUUCAAGGGAAAGGAUGUCAUAAUUUAAAUGUUGUAUUAGACUUUGUGGGUUAACUGUUACAUAUGAAACUGAUUCUGGUGGCAAAAUCGGUUGUUAAAGAUGCUGACGUGGACCUUCCCCACUUCAGAGAGAGUUGGGAUAGCUUUGUUGACCAGAGCUGGUUUCUGAAGCUGAUUAAUGUACCAACUUAGCAGCUUGGAACUAGUGUAAUUCUAGGAAUUAUAGAGCUUAUGAGCUUGAUUUGAAGCUCGUAGAAAUAUCUUGUAAUCUGGGAUCCUUCUAGUUGAUAAAGAAGAGCCUGAAGCUCACGCUGGUGCGAUGAGAAUGGCUACCUUGUGGUGCGUUAGUUCUCUGUUUUAUCUCUGAUUCUUGCUGGCGUUUUGUGAUUCAUUUUACUUAGGUGCUAUCUUGAUUAAGAUUCGCCCAAUUGUCUUAUGGUUCAUUCCAUUGAGUCUAAGAUUAGCCCAAUUGUCUCCUGUUGGAUUUAACUAUUUUCAAAUACAAAAUGUCGGUAUUUUCAUAUUCAUUGGUUUAUUUUGUUAGUAAUUUAGAUUGCAAAUUGAUAGCUAGGCAGCAGCACUAACCACCAAAAGUGGGUGAACCAAAGAUUGACAGAGACAGCUUUAGAUGAAUGGGAGCUCAUCCGUAAUUAAGGUCUAUAUGGAAAUAAAUGCAAGAUGUUUUGAGAAUUAACCAAAAGAAAAAAGAAAAAUGGAAAGCUGAGAUCUUGAGGUAUGAAAGUCAACAAACGCACACAUUACUUAAUGAUGUAAGACAAACAGAGUGGAGUAUAAAAUUUUCUAAUUUAAUUAGGAAUUGUUUUGUAUUUUCUUAUUUAAGUCAUAUUUCUUUUCUUAUAAAGAAUCAUAAGUUUAUUAGAAAUAGCAUAAUCCUAACUAAUAUAAAUAGACUUAUUAUACUUAUUUCUUUACAUGAACUUUCCAUUAAUAAUAUUCAAUAAUUUUUCAAUUGAGAUAUUUUCCUCUCUUGUAAGAGUCCUACUUCUUAAGUUUUAAAAAUAUACGCUAUAAUAACAUCUAGUAUUAUUUCUGCACUGUGUCACUUAACGACGAAUUAACGACCUGGGUUCUGUGCAAGAUGCAGAGACAGAGGAAGAAAAUAUUAUUAAUUAUAACGGUAAUGGGGUUUAUUAAUAAGUGGUCUUAUAAAAUAAUCGGAGAUGUUUGUAUCAUAAUACAUUUCAGUUUUCAAGCAUGCUCCUCCUAUUCAUAAAAUCCUUACUUAUAAUGUGCGAGAAGUAAGAGAAUUUUCAUUCUCCAUGAAAGAGUAUAACAUUCCUAUUCACAUUGAAACGUUUGGUGUCUAUUUAAUUUAAUCAAUAGUAAUUUAAUCUUCAAAUUUAGUGAAUGAAUUGAAAAGCUAGGUAGCUGGUCCAUAUUGCUCUGUUGCUUGAGCAAAUCAUUUAGCAUCCUUUUUGAUUUUGUGUUGCUAAUGACAGUAAACAUUUUUGGUCACUGGAUGAUAUGGAACUCAUUCACCUAAUUGUAACUUUCACGAAUCCAAAUGUACAUGUACUGCAAAACACCAGUCCGUAUUUUUUCCGAGGCUGUAGCUUCUUUUUCCUUAUUUCAGAAUAAAAGUGAAAUUUACAAGAUGCAACAAAUUUGUUAUCUCAUUUCUAAAACCUAGCAAUGCUGGCUGAAUUUUUGUAAUAUGCCGUAGUUGAAGAGUCAAGUUUAGAAGGGAGAGUUCAUUACCAUCUCAAGUUUGAUGUGUAGUGAUCAGGUUGAAUAAAUACAACUUACCUAAUCCAAUUGGUGAACUUAUUCAAUCUAUGAGAUUCUGUGUUUAUGCAAGUCUGUCGGCCAAAAAAUUCUCCAAGUGGCAAAAACAUAGAGUUAAUAUUGAGCUUGCUUGAGAACAGAUAGGGAGCCAAAAUGUACACUUGCAUCUGGCGCUCAACUGCUUUUACACUUGAAUCAGCUACAAACAAAUCAACAACAUCCAUGCACUACCUAUCACUGAGAUGAUCAUAGCAAGUACUAAUGAUAACUGAAAUAAGAUGCAGAAGAAACCAUAUGCAAUAUGAGUCGGCACAAGCACUUUUUUCUAGCUUCUUAUCUAUCUGUACAUAUAUACUUCAUACUCAGUUGUAUGGAUAUAUUAUUCAGCAUAAGUACUUGUGUUCUGGGAAUUAUUGCUUCUCAAUCUUUAACCUCAGUGGAAUGAUUAAAAAGAGAAAGUUACAGGUAUUCAGGGACAUUAUGAGCCUCACUCGAUCCUCAUAAAAUGUAUAGUGCUAACUAAAACCCAAAAAGAGCCUGAAGCUUGACAAAACCAAAAUAAAAUGCAAGUUGUAAUCCAUAUGCAAAAAAGAGAAGACUUGUAAAUUGGCGUCUUGUGUUCUGGGAAUGGCUUGUCUACCUUGGAAGUCUUUGGUGGAUUCCCGGGAGUCGGAAAGAUUGAUCCUUUUCCGAUAGCUGGUUUCAGAAAAAUAAUGGGCUUUUUGUCCUUAUAAUUCCGAGGUCUGGAUUCUGGGUGAGGCUUGUAACUACGAAAGGAUUGCCCGCGGAAAGGCAUAGCAGAGAGAGAAGAAGAGGAGCAGAGAACCACUAGCCCAAGGAGAAACAGUAGCAAGUGUUUGAGUGUGAGAACCAUCUUAGUAUUUUGUUUAUGGUAUGAUUUCAGAAUUUGGUGCCUAUAUAUAGUUGUUAUGCUUUAAGCUUGGCCAUCAUAAUGUGAUAGGUGAACUUGGGUGCCAUAUUUGAGUUGGCAAGGUAGGGAAAGUUGGGGCAGUGCCUUUAGAUGAAUGGAAUUUUAUCUUUUUCACCUAAAAAGAAUACUAUUGAAACUUAUAACCCCAAAAUAUAACAUUUUUCAGAAAAAAAAUCAGGCUGAUUGGAAUGGUGUUGUCUUCACCUAUAAUAAGGAAGAUGACUUGAUUAGACCAUACUCAAAAGAAAUUCCUCUAGUUCUUUACUAGUUCGUAGUUUAAGGAAUCAAUAAUUUUCCCUUUCGAUUUUAAGAAACUCAGUAGUGAAUAAAAUUUGUGUUUACAUUUUUAGGUGUUAUCCUAAUUAACUAAAACUUAAUGUUAGGCGUUGUCUUAACUAAAACUUAGUGUUAGGCGUUGUUCUAAGUGUAUUUGAGUGUAUUAUAGCCUUUGAUGUAAUUUGAUCAAUUUGACCCUUUUAAUAAAAUUUACUAAUUUUUUCCCAAAAAAAAAUUUUGACGUGUGAAAGUCAACAAACGCACACAUUACUUUUAUAAAAAAUAAAGAUGUGGGUUGUGUAAUGCCAUCAGGUAUUACAUCAACUAUAUAUAAAUUAUAAACACUAACUUUAUAUCCCUUGCAUGUUCAACAAAUUAAAAAGAAAAAUAUAAUUGUACGAAAUUAUAUGUCAAAUUUGUUUUUUUUUUUACGUAUUAAACUAUCAAGUAUCUGAAGACUAUAUUGGGCCCCGACUAAUUUAGAUUCGAGCCGGAUAUGACUAUUAAGGCGGUAAAUCGCUCCCAACAAAUAUUUAACGCAGCUGCAUUCUCAAACUUCGAACUGAUAAUAUUUGUUAAGAUAGAACAACCACAUGCCAACUGAUUUUCUUCACUUGUUGGUAUAUGUCAAAUUUGUUAUCACACAAAAUGAGUCAUAUAUCCUAGAUGCCAUUCCUCGAGUUAACCACAGCCCAUAGGCGUUUGCAAAACAUACAAGCACUAAAUAGCCCUUGGCGGCCGUGGACCACCUUAAUUUUAUUGAAGUGUUAUUUAUUUAUUUUUUAAUUUGUAUCUUGCUUUUUUGAUGAGGAGGCCAUAUUAUUACCAUUGUCAAUAAUAGACCAUAUUAUUUAUUUUCACAGACAUGAAGGAAAUAAGUAAUGUAUUAACAAAACUUGUUUCCUCAAGUAAUAUUUUGUCAAACGUCGGGGACAUCGCCAAAAUUUUCCCUUAGUGAUUUCCAAGUCUAUACUAAAAUCUAUAUAUAUGCAUGUAUAAAUAUAUACUCCCUCAAGUUGUUCUCUUCUCCAUCACCUCCACAUACACAAAACUAUCUUUAUAUUAUUAAUUCAAGUAAAUUCAUAUAUUACUCCUUUCAAAAUUUCUUUAUCUCCAAGCUAGACAUUAUGGGUGUCCUUCGGUUUGAUAAAGAUACGUCAGCUGCAGUAGCUCCAUCAAGGAUGUUCAAGGCUUUCAUUCUUGACUCUCACAAUCUCUUCCCAAAGUUGUUUCCACAAGCAUUCAAGAGCGUCGUUUACGAACAAGGCGAUGGAGAGGCUGGCAGCGUUAAAAUUAUGUACUUCGCUGAAGGUAAUUAAGUAUUCAGUUAAUCACAUCAUCAUCACAUUAUUCACGUCCAAGCUCUUAAUCAAUAAUUAGGUCGUGCUUUUUUCGUUCACAACUGUAUAUGUUAAUUGAUUAACUCUAAUGACAAACUUAAUGCAUGUGAUCGAUUGAAAGGUAACAAGCACACGUACGCAAAGCAAAGAAUCGAUGUACUUGACAAACAGAAGUUUUAUUGUAAGUACACUGUAUUUGAAGAGGACAAUAUGUUGGACAUACUUGAAUCCAUUGUGUAUGAAAUUAAGUUUGAGGCUUCUGGCGAUGGCGGAUCGAAUUGCAAAACUGCUACUGAAUUCCAUAUAAAGGGUGAUGGAGAGAGUAAAUUGGAAGAGGAACUCAAGGGCUCCGUAGAGCUAGGAAUGGCAUUGUUCAAGGCUGUGGAAGCACAUCUCUUGGCAAAUCCUGAUCUCUAUGCUUGAAUCAUUUUCCAAUUCCAAGUGGGCUUCUAAUAAAUAAGAAUUAAAUAAGCUGAACUUUGUUUGCUUAUUUAUGGUUUUAAACCUUGAUUAAUGUACUAGAUAUAAUAACAUCAAUAAAUUAUGAAGCGUGUGUGAAAGUCCACAAACUCGCCCAUUGAAUAUUACAGUUUAAUUACUUUAAUGCACAUCAAAUUCAGGAAUGUCUGUCAUUAGUCUAAUUUCAAAUUAAUUAUAUACAUCACAUGAUCACAAUUUUCUUUUUUUUUUCCCCAAUCUUAGAAAACAAUGUCGAAAGAAUCUGUUUAAAACAAGGGAGUGUGAUCUUUGAUUUGCACUUGGUGAAAAAAGAGCAAAAUUAUUAAGCCUCAAUUUCCUAGUGUGACUUCUCUUAUGAAAUAGAAAUUUUAAUGGUGAAAUUUAGUAAAAAUGACUUCUAAAAUAAUAAAGUUAAUUAAUAUAGUUUAAUCAUCACAUAACUCUCAAAGACCUAGAGGUGAGCCACUUGUGCCAGACUAUAAUACUAAAUAAAGUCUCACAGGCAUCUAGGAGACAAACAAUAAUUAAUACAACAAAAUGGAUCAUCAAAGUUAGGAGCUGUUUGGAAGUGCUACAUUGUGUGACACCCAAGCAACUGCGCAGCUGCAGAAUAAGAAAUUCUACCAUAUUUCUUUUUGCGGCAGUUGCUACAGUGCAGCACUCCUAAACGAAGGCCGAGAUCCGGCUCCAAAAAUAUAUGUUGUAGGAUCACGUGGACGAAUCAGAUUUUCUCAUGAAUUAUACGACUUUGUUCUCAAAUUUUAUCCUCUAUAGCUUCUUUCGCUAAGAAAAAUUAAAGGAAAAUUUGGAAAGUGGUAUAGUCAACAAGGGAAGGCUUUAAUUUAAAUGUAACGAUGAGAAAAUAUUUUAAAUGACAAGAUAGACACUUACCACAAGAUAACCUCCAUAAAAUCUUUAAUGAUCAGUUACCCUUUAUUAUAAUUUAACCCCAAUUGGUUGUUAUUAUUUAAAACAUAAUGCCCCAAAAUUAAAAUAAUGGUCCGACGAUAGCUUCACGCAAUAGACAAGUAUUUAGAAUUAAAUACUGGUUUGGAUCUUAUAUCCGAACGAGUAAUAUGAAAGCAUGCAGACACUUGGAUGUGGUGGUGUUGAGCUGCAUUUGGCAAAAUGAUACUCUGUUUGGUAGAGCAAUUUAAUCAGACCCAUGCAUCAUUGCACAAAUUGAGGCUCCCUCUACAAAGGCACAAACAAUAAGAGAAAUUUUAUCAAAAGCUCUCGCUUUUUUUCUUUUGGGCAUUCAUUUGUGUGUACAACUAUAUUUAUCUUGCGGGUGCCGCCCGGCACAUGAAGUCAUGCACUCAAUGACAAUUAUCGGUUUUAGUUUUCUAAAAAAUUUAAGUUUUCUGCUAAUAUUGUAAUGAUUUGAGCCACAUGUAUAAUUUUCCAUUUACUGACCCUAACUCAUAUGCUGAUAGCAUUUGCUUGGUUAACAAAAAAUCUGAAUGGAUCUGAAUGUUACAGGAAUCUAAAUUCAUAUGUUUGAAUGAUAUAUUUGUCUUUUAUUCUUUUAUUUAUGAGUAUGAGUGGUAAGUUAUUUGUUUUUAUAAAUUCAAAACAUUUUAAAUCUAAUUUUUUAACACUUAUGUCCUCAAAAGUGUUAUAUAUAUCUAGAAGUUUAAAUAGGUAUAUAUUCAUGAUGUUAUCUAGUAUAAUGCUAUUUAUAUGUUAUAAAAAUAUAUAAGGUGAUCAUUUGAUAUAUAAUUUGUGGAAAAUAAUUUUGAUAACAUUAUUUUUUAUUUUUAUCUGAUAAUAAAAUAAUAUGCCUAAAUUCAAAUUGAAUUUGUAUGUUUGGUACUUUAUACUAAGUAAAAAUUGAGAUCAAGAGAAAUUCUAAUACGACAUCUAACUUACAAUAUUACAAUUAAUUAAAAAAAAAUCUUUUUGAUUAGAGAAAAAAUAAAGGAUUAUUAGAUUUUACAUAAUAGGUAUGAAAUAAAUAUAUUUAAAUGACGAUGUUUGUAAAAAAAUUAAUUAUUCAUUCAGACAUUUUAUCAUUUAAAUAAACAUUAAAAAAUUUAAUUUUUUCAUUUAGAUGAAAAUAUCUUACAAUAAGAAUUCAGAUACAAAAAAAAACAAGGCAAAAUUUAAAAGUAUCUUAAAUUAAUGUAAAUUAAAACUUCAGACAUAAAAACAAAUAAGUGCGUAAUUUGGAUUUCGCUAAGUUUAUAAAAAAAAAUUUCUUUUUCUAUUUGCAUUUUCUUAUUUCACAUGUUCACGCUCUUCAAGAUAAUUUAAGGCCUCAAGCAAAUUUUCAAAAUUAGGCUUUUUUAAUUUAAAUUAAGAUAUUAAUGAUAAACAUUUUAUUUUAGAUUAAUUCCUUUUAGAUAGAAAAUCAUUAAUAAAUUUGGUACAUCAAUUCGUGUGCCAAAAUUUUUUGAAGUGUAUAUAUAUAAAUGUUCCAAUUUACUUUAGAAUAAUGGAUUUUACCAAAAUCUAGAAAAGUUAUUAAACAACGUGGUUUAAUAAUGUAAUGAUUGUAGUUUAACAUCUUUCUCAGACUUUAAUAAAUUCAAGAUCCUAAAUCAUUUCUCUCUCUCUCUCUCUCUCUCUCUCUCUCUAUACAUAUAUAACGUGGAACAUGAAUUUCAUUUGGUGGGAAAGAAUAUGAAAUUAUUUUAAACAACUUUAGUGAAAAAUAGAAGCCAUUACCGAAAUGAAUAUAGAGAUUCAAAAUAUAAAUAUAGAGAGAUUAAUAUUAAUUAAUUUGCUAAUAACAUUUUCCAUGUCGUCCUAUAUUAAUUUUUAAAUUAAUACAAUUGAAAUAGGUUAAAUGUAAUCUCUAUAACAAAAUUAUGUAGUUCAGACUUAUCACACAAACACUAUUAUGUUCAUAGUAGAAAGAAAAGCAGGACUAGUGGCAUCCCUCUAAUUUCCUUUUAGCACCGCCAUUUAACGUCAAGUCUGAAUUUUAUUCCAAAAUCAUUCUUUUCCUCAAUAAACAUUUAAUUUAAAUUCAAAAUUUUCAGUUUCUUCCUCGUUUUGUACUCGUCUACUAGGCCCAGUAGCCUUGCUGCCCGUCAUCAACAUGGACAAAAUUUUUCAUGAUAAAUUUCUGGAAUAUCAGUCAUUUACUUAUUUAUUAAACCACAUAUACUUGAAAUAACUAUAGUUAAAAGAGGACACAGCAAGCUUAAUUUCAGGAAAAUGGUAAGAAAAUUUUAAAUGUAGUUCAGACCUGACACCCUUAACCAGAACAUUUGAUUAAUUCCUAAACAAGUCUAAUUCUACUCAGAUAGCGAAGACAAGUAGGCCAAAAUGAUUACAACUGCUGGUAUCUAGAGACUUUGGCCACCAAGCUUCCGUUUAAUUAGUCUCUAUAUUUUGGGUUUAAUUAUCUGUUUAAUCAAUUCAUAAAUUUUGAAAAAAAGAUGAGACUAUAUCUACUAAUUUCCUCUCUAUACCUUCUUUUUAGUCAAGAAUUUUAUUAUUUAAAUAAUUAUUUUAAAGAUUACUUAAUUAACCAUUUCUCUCUUACUUCUCAAUUUCAUAUAUUCUCAUAAGUUCAUUCAACUAUAUCAUUUUAGCUGCAAAUAACUAGUAUUACUAACUAAGAGGAACGAAACUCACUAUUGAAAGAUAGAUAUCAACAAGUUCUUAUCGGACAUUAAAUUAAGUUAAUGAAUAUCAAGAAAUUAAUUUUUAUCAAAUACAAAAGUUAAAAAAAAUAAAAAAAAUUCUCCUAUAUAGAAAGCAUGAAAUAGGAAUCAUGAUAUAAUAAGAAAGGCCAAAAAAAUGAACUUAAAUUAGAGUGAAAUUGAGUGUCUAAUUUGCAAAAUGUGAGAGCAGUGAGAUCAUAUGCAAUUGUAAGAGAGAAGAAGAUUAGUGAAAAAUGAUUUUGAGAUUUUUAAAUUUUUAAUUACUUAAUAAUGAAGUUAUUUUUUAAAAUAGGUAUAGAGAGAAAUUUGAUGGGUCCAAAUAGUCCAACAAGAAAUGCUUUAAAAUACUUAUGUUGUUAAUUAUGUACACAACUGUUAUUAAUUUUUUCUUUACUUUUACAAUAAUAAUAUCCUGACAAUGAUUUGGAAAAGUAAAAAAAAAAUUAAUUUACUAUAAUCUAAGAUAAUCUUUAUUCUUAUCUUAUCAUUUCUUUUCGUUUUUCUUCUUUUAAAAGUAAAUUCCUUCAGAUUAAACCAAGUUAAAAAAAUAUUUUAGCUAAAAGAUACAGAUGCUCAUUCCAAACUUUUAAACGCACGAUAAAAAUUGAUAAGCGAGAGUCUAGUCCAAGUGUCCAACCACGUCUUUGAUGGAUAAAUUCUACUUGAUUUAGUCCUUAAUAGUGUGGGACAUGCCAAAUUUUAAACUUCAGCCGUAGAUUUGUUAUCUUUACCAAGCACUAAAAGAUACAGAUGCUCAUUCCAAACUUUUAAACGCACGAUAAAAAUUGAUAAGCGAGAGUCGAGUCCAAGUGUCCAACCACGUCUCUGAUGGAUAAAUUCUACUUGAUUUAGUCCUUAAUAGUGUGGGACAUGCCAAAUUUUAAACUUCAGCCGUAGAUUUGUUAUCUUUACCAAGCACUAAUAUUGGCAGCCUCACAUCCAUGCAUCCACUGGAUCUAUAUAUAUCACAUGAAACCAGAAAUAAGGACUCACUCAAGCUCACCUACUCACUUUUGAUUACGGUUCUCCAGAAGCUAACAGAGAUCGUUUCUGCUUUGAAGAAUAUGGAAACUCCUUACACAGGUUAAUUUUUAGACCAUGUUCAAUUGAAUGUCAUUUAUAAUUCUAAUUUUAAUAUAUGUGUUUGUGAAUAAGGUUUUUAUUAUCAAAUUUUCAGGUAACAAAGAAUGGUCAGAGGGUACACAUGUUAAUAUAGGAGUUAGUAUGUUUGAUGAUGAGAAAAUAAAUAACAAUGAUCUUGAUCUUCUUACUGCCCCUCAAUACGGGAGGUAUCCUGACUACACUGGUUAAGUGUUACAACAUUAUACUUUUAUAUUAUGUUUAGUUAAAUAAAAGGAUGGAUAAUGUUAUUAUCCAUCAACGAUGUGAAUACAAGGUUGGUUUAGUCAACUACUAAGAUCUUGUGGGAUAUACAAAAAAACUUCUUUCUUUAGCACAUGUAUUUUGUCGUCCUUAAUUAAUAAAUAAAAUUAUUGUGUGUAUGAGUUGACUGAAUUAUUUUGGCAAUAGAUAUAAAAUUGUAUUAUUUUAAAUAUCUCUAUUUGAUUAAUUGUGCUCUUUUUCUUCUUGAAGGGGCCAAAAUCUUUAUAAUUAAUUAAUAGUACUAAUACUAUUUAUGUU
rnacentral:lncRNA from 1 species